rnacentral:lncRNA from 1 species
CACACAAGGUGUGUGCUACGAUCGAACAGGAGAAAGGAAAAAAGGGGGUGUGAACCCUAAACCUCAAGAAAUCAUCAAAUUGAAAAGGGAAUCAAGGGCUGAUUGUAUGCAUGAACCAAGGAUGAUGAUCCCUUAAGCAUUUCUAACAUCAACGUAGGAGCCAUGUCAACAUAGACACGAGCAUGGAAGGGCAAUGGGUCAACGGUAAAGACGGAAGCUAUGCAUGAACUCGGACGCACGAGGUAAGUGAUUUCCGUAAUCACUUCUUAUUUUGUUUAAGUAAGGUAGCGUUAGUUAAUUGAGCAUGGUGAUGAUUGAAGUUUGAUAUGGUUUUGGUUGUAUGAAAUCGGUAAUUUUAGCUAAGUAGACCGAACGGGACAAUAUAAAGUUGUAAUGAUAUGACAGAUUGAUGUAAUGCUACGGUAUUGUAACCGGGUAAUGGGUAGAAUUGCACAUAAGUGCGCCAACCGAGAAUGGGGACUUAGGUUAAUGGUCAAAAGACUUAGCUUUUGACCUUAAAUAAAAGAAUGGUUUAACAAAAUACGAACAGGUCGAAUAAAUGUGCAUAAACUUCAUAAUGCUAAUGAAAUGCGUAAAGAUUAAGGACCCGGGUAAGGGCGUUUAGCCCAUAAUGUAAGGACAAGUCUUACGGACAACUAGAAAUAAUUGUGAGCAAUUUGAUUGAGGAAUGUCUGAGAUACGCAAGUUUUAAUAAUAAAAAUAUGAAUGGGUUGAAUAGUCGAAACGAGUAUGUAGAGCCGAAGGCUUUAAGUUAAGAUUUUUCCUUGUUUGGAUGUUAUAUUACAAGCUCAUAUGUUAGAAAAUCGAUUUACCAACGCAUAGGAAAAAGAAUCAUGUUAAUCGGAUUCGUAGAUCAAAAGUUAUGCAAAUUGUAAGUCGAAAAUACCCUUGGAAUUCAUAGCUGGGAAUUUACAGCAGCAAAUUGGAAGUUUCUGUCGAAAUAGAGCUGUCGCGCCCCGCAAGCGCCAGUCAGCUGGCAAAUUUUGGUUUUCUUGUUUGAUUUUGCAUCCAGACUCGAUGUUUUAAUGAUUUUCGAUGUCCCUUUAACUUAUAUUAAAGCCGGUUUGAAUCACGAGUGAUGUUAUGAGCCUCCGGAUAAUGAAAGUAUGUAUUUUUCUUCGUGUUAGAGAAGAAAGAUUAUAAGUAAUCGAGACUAGAAAUGAGUGGGCAUGCAGUAUGGUAAGUAUAAAACUUAUAUCAUGGAAGUUGCGAUUAUGAUAAGAAAUGCGAGAUUAAGUGAAUAAAAGUAGUAAGCGAGGGCUCGCGUCUAUGUGUGUGUAUGUGAAUGUGUGCGUAUGUAUGUAGGUGUAUAUGUUGUAUGUAUGUAGGAAUUAGGAACGUAUACGUUUGUGGAUGCGAGAUGUUAUAAGUAUAUGAAGGAAUGGUACAUGAACACCGGGUUCAUGAAGUAUCGAAGUCGAAUUCGGAACAAGAAAAUACGAAAGGAUAGUUGAAUGAAUUAAAGUUCCUACUGUUAAAUUUUAUUCAAUAUUGGACUAUAUGAGAAUCAUGUCGUAUGAUAUUGUUAAUGACUAAUGGUUAUGAUGUAUGCGAUGUCCACAGGUAUUGCACGGAUUACCGCUACUACUACCGAAGAUAAGCAAGCGUUGAUCGAGUCACGGAGCAAGGGUUGUACGGAAAUAUGUAUUGUCUUGAAGCGUUAAUUUAAUGUGGUUAUUGUAAAUCCCUUUUGUAAAUGUUUAUCAUUUGUAUUUGAGCCUUCAAGUAAGUAAUGUGUCUAAAUAAGAAAGAAAUUUUUUGG